rnacentral:rRNA from 1 species
UACGUAGGGUGCAAGCGUUGUCCGGAAUUAUUGGGCGUAAAGAGCUCGUAGGCGGUCUGUUGCGUCGGCUGUGAAAACCCGGGGCUCAACCCCGGGCCUGCAGCCGAUACGGGCAGACUAGAGUUCGGCAGGGGAGACUGGAAUUCCUGGUGUAGCGGUGAAAUGCGCAGAUAUCAGGAGGAACACCGGUGGCGAAGGCAGCUCGCUGGGACGUUACUGACGCUGAGACGCGAAAGCGUGGGGAGCAAACAGG